GGUGCUUACCAUGCAAGUCGAACGGAGUACCCCUGAAGGAGUUUUCGGACAACUGAUGGGACUACUUAGUGGCGGACGGGUGAGUAACGCGUGAGUAACCUGCCUUGGAGUGGGGAAUAACAGCUGGAAACAGCUGCUAAUACCGCAUAAUAUGUCUGUGUCGCAUGGCACUGGACAUCAAAGAUUUAUCGCUCUGAGAUGGACUCGCGUCUGAUUAGCUAGUUGGCGGGGUAACGGCCCACCAAGGCGACGAUCAGUAGCCGGACUGAGAGGUUGGCCGGCCACAUUGGGACUGAGACACGGCCCAGACUCCUACGGGAGGCAGCAGUGGGGAAUAUUGGGCAAUGGGCGCAAGCCUGACCCAGCAACGCCGCGUGAAGGAAGAAGGCUUUCGGGUUGUAAACUUCUUUUCUCAGGGACGAAGCAAGUGACGGUACCUGAGGAAUAAGCCACGGCUAACUACGUGCCAGCAGCCGCGGUAAUACGUAGGUGGCAAGCGUUAUCCGGAUUUACUGGGUGUAAAGGGCGUGUAGGCGGGACUGCAAGUCAGAUGUGAAAACCACGGGCUCAACCUGUGGCCUGCAUUUGAAACUGUAGUUCUUGAGUACUGGAGAGGCAGACGGAAUUCCUAGUGUAGCGGUGAAAUGCGUAGAUAUUAGGAGGAACACCAGUGGCGAAGGCGGUCUGCUGGACAGCAACUGACGCUGAGGCGCGAAAGCGUGGGGAGCAAACAGGAUUAGAUACCCUGGUAGUCCACGCUGUAAACGAUGGAUACUAGGUGUGGGGGGACUGACCCCCUCCGUGCCGCAGUUAACACAAUAAGUAUCCCACCUGGGGAGUACGAUCGCAAGGUUGAAACUCAAAGGAAUUGACGGGGGUUUCGUCACAAGCGUGAGUAUGUGGUUUAAUUCGAAGCACGCGAGAUCUUUACCAGGCUGACAAUCCCGAGACGACUAGAGAUAGUCUUUUCUCUUCGAGACUUCGAGAAAGUGUGCAUGUUGU
rnacentral:rRNA from 1 species